GAUGAACGCUAGCUACAGGCUUAACACAUGCAAGUCGCAGGGUAACAUGAGGAAAGCUUGCUUUCCUUGAUGACGACUGGCGCACGGGUGAGUAACGCGUAUCCAACCUUCCCAUAACUACGGGAUAACCCGUUGAAAGACGGCCUAAUACCGUAUGAUAUCGUUUGCUGACAUCAAAUAACGAUUAAAGGUUUAGCGGAUAUGGAUGGGGAUGCGUCUGAUUAGCUUGUUGGCGGGGUAACGGCCCACCAAGGCGACGAUCAGUAGGGGUUCUGAGAGGAAGGUCCCCCACAUUGGAACUGAGACACGGUCCAAACUCCUACGGGAGGCAGCAGUGAGGAAUAUUGGUCAAUGGGCGAGAGCCUGAACCAGCCAAGUAGCGUGCAGGACGACGGCCCUAUGGGUUGUAAACUGCUUUUAUGUGGGGAUAAAGUGCGUGACGUGUCAUGCAUUGCAGGUACCACAUGAAUAAGGACCGGCUAAUUCCGUG
rnacentral:rRNA from 1 species